AUUGAACGCUGGCGGUAUGCCUUACACAUGCAAGUCGAACGGUAGAGGGGCAACCCUUGAGAGUGGCGAACGGGUGAGUAAUACAUCGGAACGUGCCCAGUCGUGGGGGAUAACGUAGCGAAAGCUACGCUAAUACCGCAUACGACCUGAGGGUGAAAGCGGGGGAUCGCAAGACCUCGCGCGAUUGGAGCGGCCGAUGGCAGAUUAGGUAGUUGGUGGGGUAAAGGCCUACCAAGCCUGCGAUCUGUAGCUGGUCUGAGAGGACGACCAGCCACACUGGGACUGAGAAACGGCCCAGACCCCUACGGGAGGCAGCAGUGGGGAAUUUUGGACAAUGGGCGCAGGCCUGAUCCAGCCAUACCGCGUGCGGGAAGAAGGCCUUCGGGUUGUAAACCGCUUUUGUCAGGGAAGAAAUCUUCUGGGCUAAUACCUCGGGAGGAUGACGGUACCUGAAGAAUAAGCACCGGCUAACUACGUGCCAGCCGCCGCAGUAAUAC
rnacentral:rRNA from 1 species